GACGAACGCUGGCGGCGUGCUUAACACAUGCAAGUCGAACGGAAAGGCCCUGCUCUUGUGGGGUGCUCGAGUGGCGAACGGGUGAGUAACACGUGAGUAUCCUGCCCUUGACUGUGGGAUAACUUCAGGAAACUGGGGCUAAUACCGGAUAGGAGCUCCUGCUGCAUGGGGGGGGUUGGAAAGUUUCGGCGGUUGGGGAUGGACUAGCGGCUUAUCCGCUUGCUGGUGGGGUAGGGGCUUACCAAGGCUUUGACGGGUAGGCGGCCUGGGAGCGUGACCGGCCACAUUGGGCCUGCGAUACGGCCCAGACUCCUACGGGAGGCAGCAGUGGGGAAUAUUGCGCAAUGGGCGGACGCCUGAUGCAGCAACGCCGCGUGCGGGAUGCCGGCCUUCGGGUUGUAAACCGCUUUCGCCUGUGCCGAAGCGUGAGUGACGGUAAUGGGUAAAGAAGCACCGGCUAACUACGUG
rnacentral:rRNA from 1 species